rnacentral:rRNA from 1 species
AACGAACGUUAGCGGCGCGCUUAACACAUGCAAGUCGAGCGAGAAAGGGCUUUCGGCCCCGGUAAAGCGGCGCACGGGUGAGUAACACGUAGGUAAUCUGCCCCCAGGUGGUGGAUAACGUUCCGAAAGGAGCGCUAAUACAGCAUGAGACCACGUCCUCGAAAGGGGGAAGGGGGGUCAAAGCCGGCCUCUUCAUGAAAGCUGGUGCCAGGGGAUGAGCCUGCGGCCCAUCAGCUAGUUGGUAGGGUAAUAGCCUACCAAGGCGAAGACGGGUAGCUGGUCUGAGAGGAUGAUCAGCCACACUGGAACUGAGACACGGUCCAGACUCCUACGGAGGCAGCAGUGGGGAAUCUUGCGCAAUGGGCGAAAGCCUGACGCAGCGACGCCGCGUGAGUGAUGAAGGCCUUCGGGUUGUAAAGCUCUGUGGGGGGGGACGAAUAAGGGUUGGCUAACAUUCAACCUGAUGACGGUACCCCUUUAGCAAGCACCGGCUAACUCUGUGCCAGCAGCCGCGGUAA